CCUGGGUGGGGUCUCUGGGCUCCCGCCGCCCGGAGGUUGGGUUGCUGAUUCCCCGGAAGGUUCCUUCCCGCUCGCCCUCCCCGCCCCCGGGAUGGCAGUCCCGUCCCCGGCCACGCGCGGGACCCUGGGCAGCCGGGCCUCUGGGCAGCGGCACGCGGAGUCUGGCUUGCAUCUCCAGACAGACAGAAAUGUUCCCUCCUCCCCCCCGCCCGGCUGUCCGCCCGACUCUAUCGACUGUAUCUGCUUGUUUCCUGUAUUCCGGACUCUGGGGGCCUUGGUUCUGGACAGACUGCCCCAACCCCCCGGCCCUCCAGUCCCUGGAGCCGGCUAAGACGCCCCUGUGAACACCUCUGAUUACAAGUCAGUCCAUCCAGAGCCCGCGCCCACCCGUUCACCAUCGCACCUCAGACACCAAGCCAGGUCCCGGACAGGAGGGCCUGCCCUCCCUGCGCCAGGCUGCUGAGUUUGUCCCCACGAUGCCACGCUAAACUCACCCUCUCCCUCCUGUGAACGCCCCAAUCAGACCAGAACCCUGGGCCACGCUCCCUGGGCUCCCGAGUCUGCCUCCAGCCCGCACUGGGCCUUCCCUGUGGGGCCCUGCAGGGCACGGUUACCCCUUCUCCUGGGACGUGCAAGUGGUCAACCCCUGAGCCAUGCCAGCGCCCGGGCUUGGGGACACGUUCUGGAACACAGAUGCUGUGCUGCUGCUUCGGCGGUGGAGGAAGGGCCACCGUGCGGGAACGCAGGUGCUGGACGAGGCGGGCAGCUGGCCUCUGGGGGACUUGGUCCUCCCCACACCGGACACACACAGAGGCAGGUGCUGUCCUAGACCCGGCCCCCAACGUCAGGGCCCUAAGACGGGGUGGCCCUGGGCACCUCAGGGACACAGCAGGCCCGCACAGUGGCGUGGACUCCCAAAGGGCCACAUGGUUUUGUAAAAGUUGCUAAACUAAGAUACCGUGCCCCCGGAGGUCCCCACACGAUCGACCUCACGUUCCCUCUGCCACGCUUCCCCUCUUGUUGGGGUGGCGCUGGGGAGGCGGGGUGCCUUCGGGACCUGACGGAGGGGAGUCGAGCUGUGGGAACAGUGGCCGGGUUGGCUGAAUGUGUCCUCUGUGUCACUUGCAGUCCCUUCUCUGCAUAGCGAGGUUAGCGCCCGACACGCCGGCAGAAACAGCGUCCGGAACACCCGGGGCAGUUAACCGCGGGGAA